GGUUGGAGAUCUUUCCCUUCUGGAGUUUUCCUUGUGAGCAUCAAUCUUCAGAGAUCUUUUACCUGUCCAUAGCCAGAUGUUCUGGACAGCAGAAAGCCACAUUGGGCUAGAGACUGAGGAAGAGAGAACAGGAUCAAAAAAAAAUGCCAGGAGAACAGGGAGAUAACAGGUAGGAACACAGGACCUGCUUUCAUUGCCCUACUGGUACAAGACUCAGAGAUCCCCAGAAGGCAGCCCAAAGCAGAUACCCAGCAUGGACUGUGACUUCUACAGGCCAGCAACCAGCUGGUGCCAUCACAUCCUCAUCCCCGUGGGAGGCAUGUGAGGGUAGUUCUGCUCACUUGCCCAUCGUAGGGUAGUGCUGUGCUAUCUGAGAAGCCACAUACCCUGGGAAUCAUGGAAGAGACUUUUCUCCUGAUCACAGGACAUACAGUUGAGACCACCCUCUUCUCAGGAAAGAAAGGAGAAAGCUCUCUGUACACAAGCCUCUUAAAUUGCUGCCUGAGGACUACAGGUGAGCUGAGGCAGAAGCUUGCUUUCCUGGAUAAGCUGAUGCUGCCAUCUGAUUCCUGUACUGACAGCCCUGCUUACCCUUGUCAUGGAAAUGUACAGCAGCUAUGUUUGAGAUCAGAUGCUACUUUUUCUGUUCUUCUGUUGGAGAUGCCUGCCCUUUGUAGAAUGACAUUUUUUUCACGAUUGCAGAGCUCAACUGUGACUGUCAUCCAAGAGAAGAAAGAGGAAGGUGCAGCCCAGACCAACAGCAAAACAGUACUUAAUAUGCAAAUCCAUACAUUUCCUAAAAAGCCACUUCAAUUAUUGUGUCUCCUUCCUUCUCCAUCUGGUACAACUCUGAGUUUUAAGGCAGUGAGGUAAUAGGAACAGCACACUCUGGCAGUGAAAGUAUUCAUUUAGCAAAUUAAAAGGGGUAUUGACUCUCACAAUGUCUCUGAAAGCCUCCUCUGCACUUUUCUGUGUGUAAAGCAUUGUUGAUGUGCUGUGCUCAAAG